rnacentral:rRNA from 1 species
UACGUAUGGUGCAAGCGUUAUCCGGAUUUAUUGGGUGUAAAGGGUGCGUAGGUGGCAGUGCAAGUCAGAUGUGAAAGGCCGGGGCUCAACCCAUGAACUGCUUUCAAAACUGUUUUUCUUGAGUAGUGCAGAGGUAGGCGGAAUUCCCGGUGUAGCGGUGGAAUGCGUAGAUAUCGGGAGGAACACCAGUGGCGAAGGCGGCCUACUGGGCACCAACUGACGCUGAGGCUCGAAAGUGUGGGUAGCAAACAGG